AUUGAACGCUGGCGGCAUGCCUUACACAUGCAAGUCGAACGGCAGCACGGGGGCAACCCUGGUGGCGAGUGGCGAACGGGUGAGUAAUGCAUCGGAACGUACCCGGAAGUGGGGGAUAACGUAGCGAAAGUUACGCUAAUACCGCAUAUUCUGUGAGCAGGAAAGUGGGGGACCGCAAGGCCUCACGCUUUCGGAGCGGCCGAUGUCGGAUUAGCUAGUUGGCGGGGUAAAGGCCCACCAAGGCGACGAUCCGUAGCGGGUCUGAGAGGAUGAUCCGCCACACUGGGACUGAGACACGGCCCAGACUCCUACGGGAGGCAGCAGUGGGGAAUUUUGGGCAAUGGGCGCAAGCCUGAUCCAGCCAUGCCGCGUGAGUGAAGAAGGCCUUCGGGUUGUAAAGCUCUUUCGGCGGGGAAGAAAUUGCUCAGGUUAAUACCUUGAGUAGAUGACGGUACCCGCAUAAGAAGCACCGGCUAACUACGUGCCAGCAGCCGCGGUAAAAC
rnacentral:rRNA from 1 species